GUAGUCUCGCACAGAUGCAUAUCAAUAAGCGGAGGAAAAGAAACUAACAAGGAUUCCCCUAGUAACGGCGAGUGAAGCGGGAAGAGCUCAAAUUUGAAAUCUUAAGGGUUUCCCUUUACGAAUUGUAGUUUAAAGAAGUGUUUUCUGUUGAGGUCUUGGUAAAGGUUCUUUGGAAUAGGACAUCAUAGAGGGUGAGAAUCCCGUAUUUGACCUUUACUUUCAACUUUGUGAUACACUUUCAAAGAGUCGGAUUGUUUGGGAAUGCAGUCCAAAAUGGGUGGUAAAUUUCAUCUAAAGCUAAAUAUUGGCGAGAGACCGAUAGCGAACAAGUACCGUGAGGGAAAGAUGAAAAGAACUUUGAAAAGAGAGUUAAACAGUACUGUGAAAUUGUCAAAAGGGAAGCGUUUGACACCAGUGUUGUUUUUCUGAAAAUCAAUUAAAGAACUGUUUAUGCUAAGCUGUUUAGACUUUAUCAGCUAACUGUUUAGUUUUGAGCUUUUCUUUAAUGCACUUUUCAGUUAACAAGUCAACAUCAAUUUCUUUUGCUGUAAAGAAGCUUGAGGAAGGUGGCUUGAGAUUCGUCUUAAGUGUUUAUAGCCUCUUGCCUAUGCAGUCGGAGAGAUUGAGGUCUGCAGCGUAGAUCCUUCGGGGCUAAAUGCAUUUGUGCUAAGUUAUAGCAUUUUAUAGACAACUUGUUGACUAUGAUUUGUCUUGUAGCUUACUCGCUUAUGUUAUUUUACCUACGCUUAGGAUGUUGAACUACUGAGACAUAGA
rnacentral:rRNA from 1 species